rnacentral:rRNA from 1 species
UGGGGAAUAUUGCGCAAUGGGGGCAACCCUGACGCAGCCAUGCCGCGUGAAUGAAGAAGGCCUUCGGGUUGUAAAGUUCUUUCGGUGACGAGGAAGGCGUGAUGUUUAAUAGGCAUCACGAUUGACGUUAAUCACAGAAGAAGCACCGGCUAACUCCGUGCCAGCAGCCGCGGUAAUACGGAGGGUGCGAGCGUUAAUCGGAAUAACUGGGCGUAAAGGGCACGCAGGCGGACUUUUAAGUGAGGUGUGAAAUCCCCGGGCUUAACCUGGGAAUUGCAUUUCAGACUGGGGGUCUAGAGUACUUUAGGGAGGGGUAGAAUUCCACGUGUAGCGGUGAAAUGCGUAGAGAUGUGGAGGAAUACCGAAGGCGAAGGCAGCCCCUUGGGAAUGUACUGACGCUCAUGUGCGAAAGCGUGGGGAGCAAACAGGAUUAGAUACCCUGGUAGUCCACGCUGUAAACGCUGUCGAUUUGGGGAUUGGGCCUUGAGCUUGGUGCCCGAAGCUAACGUGAUAAAUCGACCGCCUGGGGAGUACGGCCGCAAGGUUA